UCGUACCUCUGCGUUACGGGAUGAUUGAGCGUUGCUGAUAACGCAGCGUUUUUGACGUUACCGUAGUAGAAAGCCCCAGCUAACUACGUGCCAGCAGCUGCGGUAAUACGUAGGGGGCAAGCGUUGUCCGGAAUCACUGGGCGUAAAGCGCGCGCAGGCGGUGGAGUAAGUCAGACGUGAAAGGGUUCGGCUCAACCGAACUAUUGCGUUUGAUACUGCCUCACUUGAGUCUGGAAGAGGAAAGUGGAAUGUACGGUGUAGCGGUGAAAUGCUCAGAUAUCGUAUAGAACACCCGUGGCGAAGGCGGCUUUCUGGUCUAAGACUGACGCUCAUGCGCGAAAGUUUGGGGAGCAACCGGGAUUAGAUACCCCGCUAGUCCUUACUGUAAACGAUGGGUACUAAGUGUAGGGGGUAUUGAUUCCCUCUGUGCUGUAGCUAACGCAUUAAGUACCCCGCCUGGGGAGUACGGCCGCAAGGUUAAAACUCAAGGUAAUUGACGGGGGGCCGCACAAGCGGUGGAGCAUGUCGCUCAAUUCGACGCAACGCGAAGAACUUUACCAGGCUUGACAUCUUAGUGACCGCCAUAGAAAUAUGGUUUCCUUCGGACACUAUGACAG
rnacentral:rRNA from 1 species